rnacentral:rRNA from 1 species
UACGUAGGGUGCAAGCGUUAAUCGGAAUUACUGGGCGUAAAGCGCGCGCAGGCGGUCGGGUUCGUCGCUGGUGAAAGCCCCACGCUCAACGUGGGAAGGUCCGGCGAGACAGCCCGACUGGAGGCAGGGAGAGGUCGGUGGAAUUCCGGGUGUAGUGGUGAAAUGCGUAGAGAUCCGGAGGAACACCAGAGGCGAAGGCGGCCGACUGGACCUGACCUGACGCUGAGGCGCGAAGGCGUGGGGAGCGAACGGG